ensembl:lncRNA
AUGGAGAGACUGCAUUGCAGUCUGUGGUUUACCCAUGAGCUGGGGGUGAAUUCCAUCUUUCACCCUCCAUUUAGUUACUGGCACAUAGUUGGGCUUGAGUGUGAAAGGAUGAAGUUCACUCUGUGUGUGUGUGUGUAUGUGUGUGUGUGUGUGUGUGUGUGUGUAUAUAUAAAAUGCAUAUGUGCAAACAGUUGAACUUUGUUUUCUUAGAGUUCUGAGUUUGGCAGGAAGCAAGAACAGCUUUAUCAAGGGCAGCUGAGACGGAUAUAUCUUGAUUUCAUUGUAGCAAAUUCAGUGUUCAUAGCCAACAUUUCUGGAUUUUUUCUAAGGAUACGCAUGCUACUGCAGUUAUAAAUUAGCAGCAGCUAUUGGGCUAACUACUGUAUGGCUUCACUUCUAACUCUGAAGUAAAGCUCAAUACCUAUUGUUUUCAUUCACUGCACUAUAUAGUGUGGUUUAAAGGCCAAAUCCUCCUCACCUGAUUUAUACAAGUAGUUCCCUUGAAAUCAAUAAUACUGCUAUGUGAAUAAGGUGAGCAGGAUUUUUCACUAGCAUGUAAGCUCCUUGGUGGAGGAACGCUCGCUUACUUGUUUAUAAAGUGCUAUGUACACCUAUGGCAUGAUAUUAACAACAGAUAAUAUUAAAGGCAAAAUUACUUCAGAGAUUUCACUUAAACAAUGAAUCAAUAAUUUCAUACUAUUUCCCCAUGGAUAUCCUGAAUGACAUAACUAUCCUUGUACUUACACAACACUGGACACCAGUGAUGGCUGAAUAAUCCAUAGCUAUAACUUUUAUGAUGAAUUUUGCCUCUUUCAGUUUGCAAACUGUGAACAUGCAGCAAUAUUUUUGAAUUCUUUUUGCUGAAAUUAUUUUCUGAAUAAUUUCAGCAAGUAAUUCUUGGAAUGUAUUGUGGCUGAAAUUUUUCAGACAAAACUCUUCAUGCAAAGAUAGCCUUUUUCAAAAAUGAUUUUCUUUUGUGAAAAAAUGUCAGUUGUCAAAUUUGUUUUAUGAAAAAUGCUGUGCUGCUUUAAUUUUUUAAGAAAAUAUGUUGUGUGUUGUCAAAAUGGUUAUAGAAAUGUUCACUUUCUUAAAAUAACUUUUCAGAACAUGAACAUUUUAGAUAACCAUUUUGAAAACUGAUGAAUAUUUUACAAAGAAUGCGUAAUAGUUGCAUUUUGAGCACAUCAAAACAAAAACAAGCUCAACAUUUUGAAUUUUUAACAAAAUUAUUUUUGGAUUUUUUUGACCAUCUCCAACUAUAAUUAAUAUUUGAAAUUUGAGUUGUUUUGAUUGGACAUUUAGGUCACCUCGAUGAAUGAGGAUGUCUGUUACUAUCAGAUUUUGAGUGAGAAUUGUCAUGUUUACCAGGUGAAAAUUCAAUUUCCAUGAAUACUCUAGACUAUUUGUUUACAUCUGUUUGUUCCAGUGAACAUCCUGCAAGAAUAUUAAUUGAAAGCACACUUGUGUGAAGGCAGUGAAAGCACAUUGCUUUAAUGAUUCAAACAGAAAAUAUUUUUCAGUAAUCUCACUCCACUAGUAUUCAUAAAGGUUGGAGAGAUGUGCUUCUGGGAUCUAUUGUCGUCUCAUUAUAUGCACAGGCUGAGACAGGAGUAGAGAAGAGCAAGCAUGAGAAAGCAGGUUACGCUGUAGGAAGAUAGGGUGACCAGCUGAGAGGAAGAAAAUAUCGGGACACAUUGAGGGGUGUGGGGGGUGCUGCCUGCGGAGCAAAAAGAAGCCGAGGACUGCCCAGCGGAGCAAAAAACAAAACAAAACAAAAACCAGUGCUGCCAGCGGAGCGAAAUAUUGGGACGGUCCCGAUUUUAUCGGGACGUCUGGUCACCCUAUAGGAAAAGGCCAGGGAAGGAAAGGGAAUCCUAAAGGGGAAAGGCAUUUGUACCUAGAGGGGAAAAUUUAAAUUAAGUAGUCACAUGUUUUGUAGUCUGAAGACCAAAUUCUGCCCUGGGAUCUGUGUGCCCAGCUCCCAGGCCCUGAUUCAGGAAAGCACUUAAGAAUGUAUUUGACGUUUAAGAAUGUUCUUGAGUCCCAUUGACUUCAAUCCCAUACUUAAAGUUAAGUGUGUGCUUAAGGGCUGUCCUGAGUUGAGAUGCUUUCCUGAAUUGGGCCUCAGUGACUUCUUGGUUUAAUAAUGACUUCACUGGUAGCUCCAUAUAUGAAACAAAGACUAGAAUUUGGCUUAUGUACGUGUUGCUUCUAAAUAUUCUUGAUUUUGCUGUGAGGAUCUAUUCUCCCCUUGAGAGAUCCACAUAACUGCUAUUAUACUUUCCUUCUGUUGCCCACGAAAGAAUUGACUGAGUAUUUUUUGUGUUGUCCAAAUUCUCCUCUGCUACACUGGUAUAAAUCUUGAGUAAUUACAUUUUCUGUAAUGGGUGCACUGCAGUAAAAAGCAGAAUUUAGCUCUAAGAAAGCAAAAUGCUUUAAGUACCAUAUGUUGUGUUUAAUUUUAAUGAUAUACUGAGUGAUGUGGAGAUGGUAAACUUGCUUCUAGUCAGUAAGACAGUAGGAAAGGAUUGUUUUAUUGAUAUUUUCCAUUAUUCAAUAAAAUUACAUAUUUGC